UAGGACCUACGGGGCGCAGCAGUGAGGAAUAUUGGUCAAUGGGCGGAAGCCUGAACCAGCCAAGUCGCAUGAGGGAAUAAGGCCCUACGGGUCGUAAACCUCUUUUGCCGGGGAGCAAGGGCCGAGACGAGUCCCGGUCCGGAGAGUACCCGGAGAAAAAGCAUCGGCUAACUCCGUGCCAGCAGCCGCGGUAAUACGGAGGAUGCGAGCGUUAUCCGGAUUUAUUGGGUUUAAAGAGUGCGCAGGCGGGCUUUUAAGUCAGCGGUAAAAAUACGG
rnacentral:rRNA from 1 species